rnacentral:lncRNA from 1 species
GUGAUGCCUUUCAGGAAGCUCCAAUCUUCAGGGCCUUUUGCAUUAAUCUUUAAUAUGCUCUUUGUGUGCUUGUCAUGUAGGAAUUCAAAGACAGAAAAUAAGCUGCUUGGCAAAGAUGGUGCAUAUUAGCUGACUUCUACUCCAGGCUGUGGGCCAAAUUCACCAGCCUCUGGUGCAGAAGAGACAAGCUUGGGCUAACAUGCCCUUUUGCAAAAUUUUUCCAAAAAGGAGAGGGAAACACAUCAGCACCACAAGGGAUCCCAUCCUGUGUUUUUAAAUCCUUCCUUUGUUUGAGCUACCUGAUCUCUCCAAGAAGACACAUGAGGAAAGUUCUCAGUGGAGGCCCAGCAAAGCUGUGAAGCAAUGCACAUCAAAUGAACAGGGCCACAACCACUUCAAAGUACCUAAACUCAUCCCCCAGCUCCUGUGGACCCAAAGAAAUGCCAGCAAAUUUAGAGGAUUUCUACCAAUGGAUCUGCAAGCAUGUUGCAGUUCUUGCAAGUACUUACAAGACCUCACCAGCCUGAAGAGCUAAUCCAGGAGGAUGUAUGGGGCUGC